rnacentral:rRNA from 1 species
GGUUAUACAUGUAAUUUAAUAGAAAUUUUUUGAUAAUAAUAAAUAAUUAAAAUGUGGAUUUAUAGAAAAUUUUAUUAGGUGAAAUUUUAAAAUUUAUAUAAAUCCUUAUAAGGUUUAUAAAUUUAAUAAAUUUUUUGUUUAAACUAGGAUUAGAUACCCUAUUAUUUUUAGUGUAAGUUUUUUUAUCAGAUUAGUAUUAGUUAUAGUCUUGAAAAUUAAAGAAAAUGGCGGUAUUUUAGUCUUUUCAGAGGAACCUGUCCUGUAAUUGAUGACCCACGAUUUAAAAUACUUAUUUUUAGUUUAUAUAUCGCCGUAGGUGAAUAUUUUUAUAAAAGUUUAAUAUUCAAGAUUUUUAUUAUGAUAGAAAAUCAGGUCAAGGUGUAGCUUAUAAAUAAGAAGAGAUGGGUUACAAUAAAUGUAUUUAAAUGGAUAAUAAUUUGUAAAAUUUGUUGAAAGUGGAUUUGAAAGUAAUUUUAUUAAAUUAAUUAAAAUGAUUUUAGCUCUAAAGUAUGUACAU